rnacentral:rRNA from 1 species
GAUGAACGCUGGCGGCGUGCCUAAUACAUGCAAGCCGAGCGAACGGACGAGAAGCUUGCUUCUCUGAUGUUAGCGGCGGACGGGUGAGUAAUACGUGGAUAACCUACCUAUAAGACUGGGAUAACUUCGGGAAACCGGAGCUAAUACCGGAUAAUAUUUUGAACCGCAUGGUUCAAAAGUGAAAGACGGUCUUGCUGUCACUUAUAGAUGGAUCCGCGCUGCAUUAGCUAGUUGGUAAGGUAACGGCUUACCAAGGCAACGAUGCAUAGCCGACCUGAGAGGGUGAUCGGCCACACUGGAACUGAGACACGGUCCAGACUCCUACGGGAGGCAGCAGUAGGGAAUCUUCCGCAAUGGGCGAAAGCCUGACGGAGCAACGCCGCGUGAGUGAUGAAGGUCUUCGGAUCGUAAAACUCUGUUAUUAGGGAAGAACAUAUGUGUAAGUAACUGUGCACAUCUUGACGGUACCUAAUCAGAAAGCCACGGCUAACUACGUGCCAGCAGCCGCGGUAAUACGUAUGUGGCAAGCGUUAUCCGGAAUUAUUGAGCGUAAAGCGCGCGUAGGCGGUUUUUUAAGUCUGAUGUGAAAGCCCACGGCUCAACCGUGGAGGGUCAUUGGAAACUGGAAAACUUGAGUGCAGAAGAGGAAAGUGGAAUUCCAUGUGUAGCGGUGAAAUGCGCAGAGAUAUGGAGGAACACCAGUGGCGAAGGCGACUUUCUGGUCUGUAACUGACGCUGAUGUGCGAAAGCGUGGGGAUCAAACAGGAUUAGAUACCCUGGUAGUCCACGCCGUAAACGAUGAGUGCUAAGUGUUAGGGGGUUUCCGCCCCUUAGUGCUGCAGCUAACGCAUUAAGCACUCCGCCUGGGGAGUACGACCGCAAGGUUGAAACUCAAAGGAAUUGACGGGGACCCGCACAAGCGGUGGAGCAUGUGGUUUAAUUCGAAGCAACGCGAAGAACCUUACCAAAUCUUGACAUCCUUUGACAACUCUAGAGAUAGAGCUUUCCCCUUCGGGGGACAAAGUGACAGGUGGUGCAUGGUUGUCGUCAGCUCGUGUCGUGAGAUGUUGGGUUAAGUCCCGCAACGAGCGCAACCCUUAAGCUUAGUUGCCAUCAUUAAGUUGGGCACUCUAAGUUGACUGCCGGUGACAAACCGGAGGAAGGUGGGGAUGACGUCAAAUCAUCAUGCCCCUUAUGAUUUGGGCUACACACGUGCUACAAUGGACAAUACAAAGGGCAGCGAAACCGCGAGGUCAAGCAAAUCCCAUAAAGUUGUUCUCAGUUCGGAUUGUAGUCUGCAACUCGACUACAUGAAGCUGGAAUCGCUAGUAAUCGUAGAUCAGCAUGCUACGGUGAAUACGUUCCCGGGUCU